rnacentral:tRNA from 1 species
GACGGUAUAGCUCAAGUGGUAGAGCCCAUGCAUAGCAUGCUCAAGUGGUAGAGCCCAUGCAUAGCAUGCACAAGGUCCUGGGUUUGAUUCCCAGUACCUCCU